GGUUGUGAGGGUGAUCUGGCUGCGACAUCUGUCACCCCAUUGAUCACCAGGGUUGAUUUGGCUGAUCUGGCUGGCUAGCUGGGUGCCCUCUUCCUCCCUCACCACUCUACAUGCAUCCCUCCCGAAGGUGUGUACUUGGUUGAAGAGGAUGACCUUCCCUGCUAGAGGAGGACUGGUCUUCAGUCGUGGGUAUAAGAGUAGCUGUGCUCCCCUGCUAGAACCUCCAAACAAAUAUAGGACACUAAUGCAAGAUGUUCAUAAUAAUAAGCAAAACUGGAGGGUGGAGUGAUAGGGUAUGCGGGAACUCUGUGUACUUUCACUCAAU
rnacentral:snRNA from 1 species